UCAGGAUGAACGCUGGCGGCGUGCUUAACACAUGCAAGUCGAACGAUGAACCUCACUUGUGGGGGGAUUAGUGGCGAACGGGUGAGUAACACGUGAGUAACCUGCCCUUGACUCUGGGAUAAGCCUGGGAAACUGGGUCUAAUACCGGAUAUGACCUUCCAUCGCAUGGUGGUUGGUGGAAAGCUUUUGUGGUUUUGGAUGGACUCGCGGCCUAUCAGCUUGUUGGUGGGGUAAUGGCCUACCAAGGCGACGACGGGUAGCCGGCCUGAGAGGGUGACCGGCCACACUGGGACUGAGACACGGCCCAGACUCCUACGGGAGGCAGCAGUGGGGAAUAUUGCACAAUGGGCGCAAGCCUGAUGCAGCGACGCCGCGUGAGGGAUGACGGCCUUCGGGUUGUAAACCUCUUUCAGUAGGGAAGAAGCGAGAGUGACGUAC
rnacentral:rRNA from 1 species